GCUGGUUCUGCAAACACACCAACUGCUGUGGUCAGUGCAAGGAGCUCCCUUCCUGCUCUCCCUUCCCCUCCUUGCCUCCAACAAGUCCAGCUGCCUUCCCCAACAGCUUCACAGCUUCUUGAAGUACUGCCUGGAAAUGUAGGGGUGUAGAGCUAUCCAGGAACCUCAAGGGAGCUCCAGGAUGCAGUUCGUAUCUACAUUCUAAACCAUCCACUGCUGGAAGAGCCAGACAGUCUUGACAGUGACCUUCCCCGUUUCUCUGCUCUGGAUUGUCCCUUUCACAAAGGAAUGCUUAGGAUGCACCACGAAGACGGAUGACUUGGCAUCAAAAGGAACAGGUGUUGGCUUAUAGAGGAGGAGGGCUGCAGCUUUCAGUUUUUGUGUGGAACAGAACAGGCAGAGCAUUAAGGGAAACAAAUGACAGCAUUGUUUUACAGAGAUGAAAAGUAGACCUUGGAUGAUCAUUUUACAUAUCUUUCUACUCUCAUUUCUUUACUGAUUUUGUGGUAAAUUUUGGACAAAACUAUCUAUUAAUCCACAUGCUCUAGACAGAAUGUUGAAUUUUGUCCUUUUUCAUACUGCAUUAAUCCAUUUCUCCUGCUGCAACAGCAAAGAUGGAAAGCAGCACACCUUGCUCCCUGUUAGGUCAGUUAAGAAGCAAGGAACGUCCCUGUGAAGAUUUUCUGGUCUGCCAGAAUGGUCAGAGACAUCAAACACAGCCACUUAAAUAUUGAACUAGAUGAACUUUCAAUGUCCCUUCCAACCAGGGGUGUUCUAUGAUUCUACAAUUCUCUUGAAAACCCUACCAACCCUGGUCACCCCAGCACCUUCUACUGUGACCAGCACCUUCUACUGUGACCACUCUGGGUCUGAAAAGAAAUGUCUGCUCCUGCAGAAUUCCAGAGCCCUUCCACCUUCGCAAAGAGUUGCUUACACAUACAGAAGACAACCUAGAUUUCAUCAUAAAGUCUACUUACAUAACUAUCUUUCUGAUGAACGGUGUUAUAAAAUUCAAACUACAUACUGUUUUCCCUACCGGGUUUCUUACACUGGCCAAAGACAAUGUGAAUAUUCAAAGUAUGACAUCAUGAAGAACUUCUGGUUAGCUUGUGGAACCUCACACCAUAUCUACACAUUGAGUGAAAUGGAUUUGGAUGGAAUAAUAACAAUUUAAAUUUGAUGAUGUGUAUGUGGACUCAGGCACAAUGUCAUACUCAGUGAUUCUGGAUCUGCAGAGAGAAUGAAAUUUCCUGUGCUCUGCCAGAAAAGAUGAGCAUGUCUAAAACAUGAAGGCUUCUCAUAAAAGAAACACUCCUGCUGCAUUUUCCAGAAGUCACAGGGUCUAGUGCAGUGCUGACCUAACUUCUCAAUAUGACCUUGAAGUGAGCCUUUCAAGGUUCUUUUCAGGCUACAGCAGCAGCUGAGAAAAGAACUAGCUGAUAUCCACUGCUGCCAGGGCUCAGCAGGGGAUGGCUGGAGAAACUAAUUCCUUUGUAUGUCCUCUCUCUGAUAUUUAUGUACUCUUUGCUGUCAUUCCCAGGGUGACAUAUAACUGAACCCCCCAAGUCUCAAGAGCUCAAGACCUGAUUAAACUCUAGCUCCCUCUUACUCUACAAGUCCUUCUUUAUGUAAUGAGAUUUCAAUAAUGAUGGUUUCAAUGUCAUAACAAAGAAACACCUUCAUUAAAUCGAUAGAAUGCAAUGCUAAAUUCACUGGUCAAAUUUUAUCUUAUUCAAUAUUGUGUUGCUGAAUUAGAUGCCAAAUUCAGAAGCUCAGCCAUCAUUAGUUCCAUGGGACGCUGAAAACACAUGGGCAGGCUACACAAAUAUCCAUUUACUUGAAGUAUACCAGAGGAAAAUCUCAUUGAUGGAAGUGUUUUUUACUACCCUGUAAUUAUAUCCCAAUUACCAGAAAAAAACUUUCAAUAUAAAAAGAUAUUUGUAUGUCUUGGUUGUUUAGGAGGACUUUCAUUAGUCCUUGCAAAUAUGGUCAUUUUUGUCUCACAUUUAACAGCCAACAACCCCAUCUCAUUGACAUCUCAAUUCUGUUCUAGAGGAAUAACCUUGCUGACAUUAAAAUUGAUAUACUGGGAAAAUAAAAAGGAUAUAGAUACAAUAGCUCAAAACUUUCUUAGGUAAUUUUGUCCACAAGGUGAAGAAGGGAAGAGCAGCUGACAUCAUCUACCUGGACUUGUGCAAAGCAUCCUGUACAGCACGCUGGUCUCCAAAUUUCAAGAAUAUGGAUUUGAUGGAUGAUCUACUCAGUGGAAAAGGAAUUGGCUGGAUGGUUGCACUCAAAGAGCUGCAGUCUCUGGCUUGAUAUCCAAAUGGAGACCAGUAAGGAGUGGCUUUCCUUAAAGGGCUGGUCUCCACUGCAGUGGCAUGAAAGGCACAGUAGAGUCAAAAGGGAAGAGGUAGAAUGAGAACAGACCCUGGAUACAGGCUGUCCUGCCCAGCACUGCAGCAUGGGCAAGGUUCUGCAGUGCUGACAUUCCUGUGGACAAGGGAGGAUUUGGGUGUUCUGAAAAUAGAUCCUGCUUGAGAUGGAGACCAGGCAGCUGCCUCACUCUCUGCCACCCUUUAAGACUUGCUUCUCCCCUCAGUUCUGUGACUGUCUGUGAGACCAGCAGCAAGAAGGCACAUCUUAGCAAGGAAGUACAGGUCAAGUGAGGAAAAGGAGGCAUCUCCAGAAUACUAGUCUGUACCCCACUAGGUCACCCCAACCUGCAACCUCC